rnacentral:lncRNA from 1 species
AGCAUAUGCUGGUGCAAUAAACUUUGGGUCAUUCUUUGCAGCAUCAGCAUAUUUCAAAAUUGCCUCUCUUGGAUCUUCAUCCAUCCAGGUCUCCUUAAUUAAACCACCUUCCUGUAACAAAUAAAUUGAGAAAAUUAUGUGUCAUCAACUAAAAGCAGGUAUACUCUGGGAGGAAACACACUGGAGUACACAAAGAACGUAAAUUUACCAUACAUAUAAAACAUAAGGGAUGAUUAAUGUGUAUAUUACCUUCAUGAGAUACUGUGUCAGCAAGCUGCCUUUUGUUGUGCCAAUUUUACCACCAAACCCUGGACCACUAACAGGAGCUUCUGGUUUGUGCGAUUUGAGGGG